GCGGCCAUGGCGGAAUUGGCAGACGCGCUAGAUUCAGGUUCUAGUGAGCGAAAGCUCGUGGAGGUUCGACUCCUCUUGGCCGCA
rnacentral:tRNA from 3 species